ACUAUUUCUCUAUUCUGAUUUAUUCUAUCAUAUAAUAACUUAGUAUGAGAUUCUUUGAGAACAUCUCAGACACAUUAUAGCAAAAAAGGCCUUGCUCGACUUAUUUGCUAUCCAUUAGAAGUUAGGUUGUGGUUGCCACUUAUUACCUCGGUUUUAUAAUUAUAUUUUUGUUAUAUUAUUGCUAUAACUGAAAAUUAGAUGGGGUAAGUGUCCCUUAAUGAGAGUCUACAAGUUGGAAAACUAGAUUAUUUUGUAGGUUUGCUUUCUGUCUAUCAGAAGUACCCCCUUCGUUCAUUUUAAUUGUGGCAUCAAUGCCUCUCUUUGCAUUUGAGAAAUAUGAGUAGAAUGCCAAUUGAACUGAUCCAGAGAAAAAAAGAAAAA